rnacentral:rRNA from 1 species
GACGAACCGUACGAACGUUAUUCGGAAUCACUGGGCUUAAAGGGUGCGUAGGCUGCGCAGAAAGUUGGGUGUGAAAUCCCUCGGCUUAACCGAGGAACUGCGCCCAAAACUACUGUGCUCGAGGGAGACAGAGGUGAGCGGAACUUAGGGUGGAGCGGUGAAAUGCGUUGAUAUCCUAAGGAACACCGGUGGCGAAGGCGGGUCUCUGGGCCGAUACUGACGCUGAGGAGCGAAAGCGUGGGGAGCGAACAGG